rnacentral:lncRNA from 1 species
AAAAAAACGGGGGAGCAAAGCAAGCAAUCAGCAACCUCAGAUAUUAAAACUACUUGAAUACUUGCAUGGACCUACCAACCAAUGUCUCCAAGUUACUUGGGUCCAUGCUUCUUCUGGGUAGGAUCACCUGUCAGUGUACCACAGCAGAGUGAAUUCAAGAGGAGGAGCAUCCCUGUUCCGUUAGAAAGAGACACCACACUUUGGAGAAGUGAAGUAAGUGUCUUGGCCACUGCUCACUAGGAGAGGAAUCUCCAUGCAAUUGCUUGGGAG